AUAAAAAGGGUCAUUGCGUAAGAGCAAAUUCACAGAUACAGAACCUGCAAAAAGAGAAGGAAACCUGUAUAUACCGUUUUCAGGAAAGUACU